rnacentral:tRNA from 1 species
GGAGGGGCAGGGUUUCCCGGUGGAGCACCCGGUCUUCAAAACCGGUGGGAUGCGCCUGGCGCGUCCGGUGGGUUCGACUCCCACGCCCUUCCG